ACUCAAAUGAAUUGACGGGGGCUCGCACAAGCGGUGGAGCAUGUGGUUUAAUUCGACGACAAGCGGGGCACCUCACCCAGGCUUGACAUCUAGGGAAAGUCCGCGAAAGCGGACCGUGCCGCAAGGAACCCUAAGACAGGUGUUGCACGGUCGUCGUCAGCUCGUGUCGUGAGAUGUACGGUUAAGUCCGUAAACGAGCGAAACCCUCGCCCGGUGUUGUAUUUUUCACCGGGGACUGCCGGCUUUAAGCUGGAGGAAGGCGGGGAUGACGUCAGAUCAGCGUGGCCCUUACGCCUGGGGCGACACACGUGCUACAAUGCCAUAGACAAUGGGUCGCCAAGCCGCGAGGCGGAGCUAAUCCCAUCAAAAUAUGGCCCAGUUCGGAUUGGAGUCUGCAACUCGACUCCAUGAAGCCGGAAUCGCUAGUAACCGCGUAUCAGCCAUGGCGCGGUGAAUACGUUCUCGAGCCUUGCACACACCGCCCGU
rnacentral:rRNA from 1 species